UACGUAGGGUGCAAGCGUGUCCGGAAUUAUUGGGCGUAAAGAGCUCGUAGGCGGUUUGUCGCGUCUGCUGUGAAAAUCCAGGGCUUAACCCUGGACCUGCAGUGGGUACGGGCAGACUAGAGUGCGGUAGGGGAGAUCGGAAUUCCUGGUGUAGCGGUGAAAUGCGCAGAUAUCAGGAGGAACACCGGUGGCGAAGGCGGAUCUCUGGGCCGUAACUGACGCUGAGGAGCGAAAGCAUGGGGAGCGAACAGG
rnacentral:rRNA from 1 species